UGAGUGGUGUUUGGAGUGUUACGGGUGGUUGGCUCUUUGCUUGCGCAACAACUUCCACCUGGCAUUCCUCUUCAUUUUUGAUUCAAUGCUUGUAUUGCAUUGAUUGCACGAAGGGUUUCUUGUGUUUCAUGCCUAAUUGACGGUAUCGUUUGACGACUCGAUGAGUAUCUUCGUCUUGUGUCGCACAUGCGAUGCGAGAUGAACACUAAAGCAGCCUUUGUGAUCCACUCUUUCAUUGCAUACGCUUUGGUUUUGUGGCUCAGUGAGUGUUUGCUUGGUCUCAUGGAUAUGGAACCUUGUUUGGGCAUGUGAUCUUUUACUAGCUCAUUGUUUGCCCUAGUUAAGCUUCUUCAAAUACGAUUUCCUAUCAUGUCUCGACAUGGUAGGCUAUAUCGAAUAUGAAUGCUACCUGG
rnacentral:misc_RNA from 1 species